UGAUCCAGCCAUGCCGCGUGCAUGAUGACGGUCCUAUGGAUUGUAAACUGCUUUUAUACAAAAAAAAACACUCCUUCGUGAAGGAUCUUGACGGUAUCGUAAGAAUAAAGAUCGGCUAAGUCCAUGCCAUCCCCCGCGGUAAUACAGAGGAUCCGAGCGUUAUCCGGAAUCAUUGGGUUUAAAGGGUCCGUAGGCCGUUUAAUAAAUCAGUGGUGAAGGCCCAUCGCUCAACGGUGGAACGGCCCUUGAUACUGUUAGACUUGAAUUAUUAGGAAAUAACUAAAAGAUGUUCUGUAGCGGUGAAAUGCUUAGAGAUAACUUGGAAUACCCAUUGCGAAGGCAGGUUACUACUAAGUGAUUGACGCUGAUGGACGAAAGCGUGGGUAGCGAACAGGAUUAAUUACCCUGGUGUCCACGCCGCCACGAUGGAUACUAGCUGUUGGGAGCAAUUUCAGUGGCUAAGCGAAAGUGAUAAGUAUCCCACCUGGGGAGUACGUUCGCAAGAAUGAAACUCGAGGAAUUGACGGGGGCCCGCACAAGCGGUGGAGCAUGUGGUUUAAUUCGAUGAUACGCGAGGAACCUUACCAAGGCUUAAAUGUAGAUUGACCGGUUUGGAAACAGACUUUUCGCACGA
rnacentral:rRNA from 1 species